rnacentral:lncRNA from 1 species
ACCGGAAACGGAGGAGAGCGCGGGGGAUGUGUUUGGCAUGGGGACGCACUGUUACAGUUGCGCUCCUGGUUGGCUUUGUGUUUCCGCGGUGUUGGUAGAGUCUCGGUGUUUCUACCUCUUAGCACCCUUUCCUGCCACCCUUUGUCCUGUGGAAGCCCGGAGACAUCAGCGGCUGCAAUUUUGCUACUCGCUGCUCGGCAUGGAACGGUCAGGUACCGCAGUUCAGCGCUCUUGGCCCCGCAGGUCCUCGGGCAUCCCCGUGCCCCGUGCUGUACAUUCAGUUAUCCUCCGACUUCCCGGGGUCGAAGGACAAAAAAUAAUAUCCAAAGAUAUUUUGGCACUAACAGCGCUAUCUGUAGCAAGAAAGUUGAGCAGUGUGAACUGUUGAGACUUCCAAGAAGACUUCAGAGAACCAAGACAGUGUAAAGGAAAACAGGAAAAAAGACUUGUUAGACAUUAUUAAGGGCACGAAAGUUGAAUUGAGCACAGUAAAUGUACAAACAACAAAGCCACCCAACAGAAGUCCACUUAAAAGCUACAACUGGCCCGCCUCAAAGAGCUACAGAGCAUGCUCCAAAGAAGAGAAAUGAGCCCGUGAGUCCUGAGUUGGUGGCAGCUGCAUCUGCUGCUCUGUUUUGACAAGCAAACAAGCCAGAACUGCUCAGGCAGCUCCGUAGCAUGAGGAAGAGUCAGGGGCACAGAGAGAUGGAGAGAGACCUAGUUAGAGAGCGAACCAUGUGCUGGAUUUAGCCAGUCCUGCAUUUUUCUAUACUUCAAAUCAAAACGGGCCAUGCUUCACAUCUACCCAUGAUGAAUAGGGGUACUUUGAUUAAGAAUAAAUAGAGCUGACUGAAUUCUGAACAAGAAAAACAUAUUCAAGGGGAAGAGAUGUAAUAGUUUUGACGUGACGACAGUUACUAAAGAAGCACCUGAACAGACACAUCACCUUCACUUUGGGAUGUGGAAUUUGCUAAAUAAGCCACAGAAAAUGAACAUCCCUUCAGAAUGGGUUUGAAGAGCUGAUCCAGUGGAUUAAAGAGGGGAAACUGGGAGUUUCCAAUUAACAAUGAAGCAGGAGCUGACUAAGGCUUUGGAACAGAAACCAGAUGAUGCACAAUAUUAUUGUCAAAGAGCUUAUUGUCACAUUCUUCUUGGGAGUUACUAUGUUGCUGUUGCCGACACAAAGAAGUCUUAUGAACUCAAUCCAAAUAAUUCCACUGCUAUGCUGAGAAAAGGGGGCUGGCGGCAUGGAGUCUUGCUCUGUCACCCAUCCUCGAGUGCAAUGGCACCAUCUUAGUUCACUGCAGCCUUGAAUUCCAGGGCUCGAGCCAUCCUUCUGCCUCUGCCUCCUGAGUAGGUGGGACUACAGGCAUGUGCCACCAUACUGAGCUAAUUUGUUAAACACUUUUUUUGUAGAGACGAGGUCUUGCUACGUUUCCCAGACUGGUCUCUGAACUCCCGGCCUCAAGUGAUCCUACUGCCUUGGCCUCCCAAAGUACUGGCAUAAUAGACAUGAGCCACUGCACCUGGCUCCUAAGUUCUUUUCUUGAAUAAUAUCUUUCUUUUUUUUUAUUUUUUGAGGUGGAGUCUCACCCUGUUGCCCAGGCUGGAGUGCAAUGGCGUGAUCUCGGCUCACUGCAACUUCUACCUCCCGGGUUCAAGUGAUUCUCCUGCCUCAGCCUCCUGAAUAGCUAGGAUUACAGGCGUGCGCUACCACGCCUGGCUAAUUUUUUGUGUCUUUAGUAGAGAUGCGGUUUCACCAUGUUGGCCAGGCUUGUCUCGAACUCUUGACCUCGUGAUCCACCCGCCUUGGCCUCCCAAAGUGUUGGGAUUACAGGCGUGAGCCACCACGCCUGGCCAAGUAAUAUCUUAAUAUCAUGCCAUUGACAUUUAUCCUCUAAUUAUUUCAGAGGUGGCCUUCAGAAGAAGGCCUCUUUGGUAAAAUUGCUAUUGAGGAUAUUUCACUGAAAAACAAAUUUAUCUUUAAAUUUAAAUCCAGGAAAAAUUUAAACUUUCAGGCUUCUAUUUUUAUCAGACAGGGUAAAAAAUUUAUAACUCAGAAUAUUACCCUUUCCCCUCUUUGUGUGAUGGAUUGCUUGGUUUUAGUUACUGAUUAUUUAAAAUAAUAAGUUAUUCAAAUCUAGGAUUUUGAUACAAUAGUUCUUCUCUAGAAUAUAGUGUGUGUGUGAGAGUAUAUUUAAAAUUUUUAUUAAGGCCCAUGGGGCAGCCUUUGAGGAAACCAGACCUUGGGGAUCGCCAGGCAGGAUUAGUGGCAGGAAUUGAGAGAACAGAGCCCCACAGAGCUCCUCGGGGACCGUCCCCCAGUCACAAGAGUAUCUCAAGGAAGUAGUCUUCUCCCACAUCCCCCAAAGAUAACUACCAGAGGGUCAGUUCUCUGAGCCCUUCUCAGUGUAGAAAAGACAAGUGUCAAAGCUUCCCCACUCACCCUGAGUUUGCCUUCUAUGACAAUACGUCGUUUGGCCUCACUGAGGCUGAGCAGAGGAUGCUGGACCUCCCAGGAUAUUUUGGGUCAAAUGAAGAGGAUGAAACCACAAGUACACUUAGCGUGGAGAAGCUGGUGAUCUAGACUGAGAAUCAGCCUGAGCUUAACACAGCUGGGGUCUGCUACUCGCGUUUUGUAGACUUUUGUGUAACUAUUUGUACCGUAGGACAGAAUGUGAGGAGGAAGUAACACACACAGAGGAGGAUGUGUGUGUGUGCAUGUGUUUGAAUUCACAAGGAAGAAAUUAUUUAUCUUGAGCUUUUUCCUUUGUUAUUCAGUUUUUAUUGGUUUAUUACUAAUAAUGAUAAUAAAAUGUAAACAAGAGCAAA